GACGAACGCUGGCGGCGUGCUUAACACAUGCAAGUCGAACGGUGAAGCGCCUUCCUUUUUGGUGGGUGUGGAUGAGUGGCGAACGGGUGAGUAACACGUGAGUAACCUGCCCCCUUCUUCUGGAUAACCGCAUGAAAGUGUGGCUAAUACGGGAUAUUCUGGGUCUGUCGCAUGAUGGGUCUGGGAAAGAUAUUGUUUCGGUGGGGGAUGGGCUCGCGGCCUAUCGGCUUGUUGGUGGGGUGAUGGCCUACCAAGGCGGUGACGGGUAGCCGGCCUGAGAGGGUGGACGGUCACACUGGGACUGAGACACGGCCCAGACUCCUACGGGAGGCAGCAGUGGGGAAUAUUGCACAAUGGGCGCAAGCCUGAUGCAGCGACGCCGCGUGAGGGAUGGAGGCCUUCGGGUUGUGAACCUCUUUCGCCAGUGAAGCAGGCCUGCCUCGUUUGUGGGUGGGUUGACGGUAGCUGGAUAAGAAGCGCCGGCUAACUACGUG
rnacentral:rRNA from 1 species